ensembl:lncRNA
CUGCUCCUUCACCUGAGCCACAUGCACAAUUUAUUUAGUUUUCUCUGUUAGUGCACCCUUCAACGCCACAUCAUUUUCACACACCCACAUACACACUACUGAUAUUACAGACAAGACACACCUCAUACCCGCAGUGUGGACUCGGCGUGGAUCCUCGGCUGCAGUUUGUUUACGCAGGUAGCAGGAGAGUCAGGGAAACCGAACCAGUCUGUGAAGCCUGUUCCUCUGCAACCGAUACCAGCCCUCCGUGUUUUGACCGGCCGUUUAUGCUGCAGGUGGAUGCCAGUCAGGUGGGAGCAGGAGCAGUCUUGCUGCAGGGGGAUGACCAUGGGGUGGUGAGACCAGUUAGCUUCUUCUCGAAAAAAUUCAACCGUUAUCAGAGCAAUUAUUCUGUGAUCGAGAAAGAAGCACUGGCUUUGAUCUGGGCAUUGCAACAUUUUGACGUAUACGUGAGUGGGGCGCCCCUAGUGGUGUAUACUGAUCACAAUCCCCUUACAUUCUUGAAGUCUCUUAGGUUCCCCACUCAGAGAUUGGUUAGGUGGUCUUUAUUUUUGCAGGGCUAUGCCCUCACUGUUUUGCAUAUUAAGGGGACAGAAAACGUCAUGGCGGAUGCUUUGUCCCGUGCACCUAUGCCAUGACCUCUGACCUUUAGAGUUCCCUUCAUAAUGUUUUAUUGAUGCCUUGUGUGUUGUUGUUGCUGCGCUGCUCUCCUCUCUUAAUCUGCUUCUCAGGUACCGGGGUUGCUGAGAGUGGGUGGGGUAGUCUACGCGGCACACUGUUGGGCAGACAUAAACAUUGGACCGGAUGGGAUUUGUAUAUAUUUGUUCUUGCUUAUCGCUGGUAUUGAGGAUUUGAUAUUUAUAGUUAUGGGUUAUUUGUUAAUGGGUCACUGUGGUUUUGUAGAUUUGGUAUUGGUGAUUUGGAGCCGGUGACUCCCUUGGAGCCCCGACUUUAUGGGGGGGUGUGACGGCCCCCGUGUAUAUGUGUGAUAGAGGAGUUAAUGACAUGUG